rnacentral:rRNA from 1 species
UACGUAGGGUGCGAGCGUUAAUCGGAAUUACUGGGCGUAAAGCGUGCGCAGGCGGUUCGUUGUGUCGGUGGUGAAAGCCCCGGGCUUAACCUGGGAAUGGCCAUGGAAACUGGCGAACUGGAGUGUGGCAGAGGGGGGUGGAAUUCCGCGUGUAGCAGUGAAAUGCGUAGAUAUCUGGAGGAACACCGGUGGCGAAGGCGGCGUUCUGGACUGUUUCUGACACUGAGGAACGAAAGCCAGGGGAGCAAACGGG